rnacentral:rRNA from 1 species
CCUACGGGAGGCAGCAGUGGGGAAUAUUGCACAAUGGGGGAAACCCUGAUGCAGCGACGCCGCGUGAGUGAAGAAGUAUCUCGGUACGUAAAGCUCUAUCAGCAGGGAAGAAAAUGACGGUACCUGACUAAGAAGCCCCUGCUAACUACGUGCCAGCAGCCGCGGUAAUACGUAGGGGGCAAGCGUUAUCCGGAUUUACUGGGUGUAAAGGGAGCGUAGACGGCAGCACAAGUCUGGAGUGAAAUCCCGGGGCUCAACACCGGCAUGCCGUUGAAACUGGUCUUCUUGAGUGAGCGAGAGGUAUGCAGAAUGCGUGGUGUAGCGGUGAAAUGCAUAGAGAUCACGCAGAACUCCGAUUGCGAAGGCAGCAUACCGGAGCUCAACUGACGCUGAGGCACGAAAGCGUGGGGAUCGAACAGGAUUAGAUACCCCAGUAGUC